rnacentral:rRNA from 1 species
UACGUAGGGUGCAAGCGUUGUCCGGAAUUAUUGGGCGUAAAGCGCGCGCAGGCGGCUAGUUAAGUCAGAUGUGAAAGGCUGCGGCUCAACCGCAGAGCUGCAUCUGAAACUGAUUAGCUUGAGUGUAGGAGAGGAUAGUUGAAUUCCCGGUGUAGCGGUGGAAUGCGUAGAGAUCGGGAGGAACACCAGUGGCGAAGGCGACUGUCUGGACUGUAACUGACGCUGAGGCGCGAAAGCGUGGGGAGCAAACAGG